UACGAAGGGGGCUAGCGUUGUUCGGAAUCACUGGGCGUAAAGCGCACGUAGGCGGAUUCUUAAGUCAGGGGUGAAAUCCCGAGGCUCAACCUCGGAACUGCCUUUGAUACUGGGGAUCUUGAGUCCGGGAGAGGUGAGUGGAACUGCGAGUGUAGAGGUGAAAUUCGUAGAUAUUCGCAAGAACACCAGUGGCGAAGGCGGCUCACUGGCCCGGAACUGACGCUGAGGUGCGAAAGCGUGGGGAGCAAACAGG
rnacentral:rRNA from 1 species